rnacentral:rRNA from 1 species
UACAGAGGUCUCAAGCGUUGUUCGGAUUCAUUGGGCGUAAAGGGUGCGUAGGCGGCGCGGUAAGUCGGGUGUGAAAUCUCGGAGCUUAACUCCGAAACUGCAUUCGAUACUGCCGUGCUUGAGGACUGGAGAGGAGACUGGAAUUUACGGUGUAGCGGUGAAAUGCGUAGAUAUCAGGAGGAACACCGGUGGCGAAGGCGGCCCGCUGGGCAGUGGCUGACGCUGAGGCGCGACAGCGUGGGGAGCAAACAGG